rnacentral:rRNA from 1 species
CCUACGGGAGGCAGCAGUGAGGAAUAUUGGUCAAUGGCCGGAAGGCUGAACCAGCCAAGCCGCGUGAGGGAGGAAGGCGCAGAGCGUCGUAGACCUCUUUUGCCGGGGGACAAAAGGCCGGACUCGUCCGGUCCUGAGGGUACCCGGAGAAAAAGCAUUGGCCAACCCCGGGCCAGCAGCCGCGGUAAUACGGAGGAUGCGAGCGUUAUCCGGAUUUAUUGGGUUUAAAGGGUGCGCAGGCGGGCCGUUAAGCCCGCGGUUAAAUUGCGGGGCUCAACCCCGCCGCGCCGUCGGAACUGGGGGCCUUGAGUGCGGCAGAGGCAUGCGGAAUGCGCGGUGUAGCGGUGAAAUGCAUAGAUAUCGCGCAGAACCCCGAUUGCGAAGGCAGCGUGCCGUGGCGCAACUGACGCUGAGGCACGAAAGCGCGGGGAUCGAACAGGAUUAGAUACCCGGGUAGUC